UUUUAAUUAUAUUUUUGCCACAUGCGUCAUUUUUUGCGUCUUUCACGCAUCAUGUGAACAGGUCAAACGCAGCCAUAUGGGAUCACAGAUGUCUAUACUAUACUAGAUUGCUAACUUCGAUCUUUGACCUAUACAAGAGCUGUGUCCCGCUUAUUUUCCGGUUCGGCCAUGAAGACCGCCAAAACAUGGCGGCAGUGUGUGUUUGUAGUGCGUACGUGAGUAUCUGAUGCGUGUGUAGUAGUGCUGUACUGUAAGUAUGUGAUACCUGAUGUGUCUACACUGAUGUGUCGUAUCUACUUAUAUUAGUAAAACUGCAAAUAUAUAAACGAGAUAAUGCCAAGUACAUGUUGCAUUGUUAAUUGCAAUAAUACGAAUAAAAAAGGAUAUCACUUAUUUAAGUCCGUGCACAAUGCUAGGCAACAGGCAGUAGAAACAGGGAAUAGGACCUUAAAAGUGUGUUAAAAGAAAAUAUCAAGAUGCCAAAAUGUGUUGCCAAAAGUUGUAAAAGUGCAUCUACUAAAGGAAUUAAAAUGUGUUCCUUUUCACAAGAAAGGGAAAUAUAAAUAUUGUGGAUAAAAAAUGAAAGAUCGAAGUAACGGGCAGCUGAAAAAGGAUUCACGUUUAUGUGAGUUUCAUUUUGCUAAUGAUCAGUGGGAAACAAUAAGAGUCGAUGGCACCAAAAAAUUAAAAUGGAAAGCUGUACCAACAUUAUUGGGGAAGAUACUCAAAUUCGAAUAGAUAACUAUCUAUCCAGGAAGAGAGUUUAUCAACAAGUGAAAACAUAAAUCAAGUGAAUACAAAUGCAAACAAGAUGUUGGAGUUACCAAUAGAUACAACAAAGAUGUCGGCACAAUAUAACAGUAUAGAACAGAAAGGUGAAAAUGUACAAACUGAAGAAACUGAGACUGAAGUUGGAUCUAUUCAACAGUUGACAUUAAGUCAUUCAAAAACAAUUCCUGAGUAUGAGCAAAGAUUAGAAAAAUUAGAAAAAACAUUUGCUUCAAAGUGAGAGGAGCAGAAGAGGAAUGGUGAAACAGUUGCGGAACAUGAAAAUAAAACUGAAGAGACUACAGCAAGAAGUACGAACAAUGAAACAUAUAAAAAUAUUAAAUACGUUUUUUAAUGAAAAUCAAAUUAAAUUUAUUACUAACGCUUAUAAAAAAAUGCCAUGUUGGUGUAAUGAUAUUAAUCAUAUAUUAAUCAAGGUAUAUUAAUCAAGGCUUAUCGCUUAAAAUUUGCUUGCGGAUCGCAUAGGUAUGAAUAAUUACUCCGAAAUAAUUUCUCAUUGCCUUCUCUUCGAACUCUAACUCGCCAUUCAGAACAUUUAAAGUUUUUACCUGGUGUCUCUGAAGAAAUAUUUAAGUUUUUAGAGCUUAAAAUAGCUCAAUUUCAAAAUAACAUAAACAAAGAUUGCAUUGUUAUCAUGGAUGAAUAUAACACCUGGAAAAUUUUAUUGUACGUCAUCAAAUAUAAUUUUUGGUGAAUUUACAAUACCAAGUACAAGUGAGAGUAAUAUACAAAUGAGUAUUCAUUGCGAAAAAUCUAUUGCAAGUCAUGCAAUAGUGUUUUUACUUGGUGGAAUUGCUAGUCGAUGGAAACAGGUUGCUGCAUAUGAAUUUCUUAUAUCUGACUCCAUACAUAGCCGAGUUUUUAAAUCCAUCCAGAUACAGUUCCUGCACGGCACCAGAAAAGGAAAGAAAUAUUGUUUAUAUUAUACUUUAUGACGUUUUCUUAACAUCUCCAAUGUCAACGCGAUUAUCAUUAAGUUACUUUAUUACUUUGCUAUUUGUGAAAUUGUAUUAUCAUCAUGUAGGAAAAAUAUAUCUUUUAUAUAAAAUAAU
rnacentral:misc_RNA from 1 species